AUCGAGAUGGCGCAGCGGAAGCGUGCGGGGCUCAUAAUCCCGAGGUCCCAGGAUCGAAACCUGGUCUCGAUA
rnacentral:tRNA from 1 species